CAAUCGCUUUAUGUUUGUAAUUAGUUGUCCAUUUCAUUUCCAUAUGCUUUUAAUAAUGAAUACAACAACAAGCCUUAUUUACAUUCUGAGACAUCUGGGUAUACAUCAGGCAGAAUCAGAACACAUCUUAAUCGUAAAUUUCUACUUCUUUUGUAGACUAUCAAGUUUAAAGAGCCAUUUUUUAAGCCGCCCGUGGUACUUGCAACAGUCCUCAAUGGAGACAGUAACAGUGCCAACAUAGCUUGCUCUCACAAAGGUCCUCUAGCAAAUUGGCUGGAGGUAGUGAACAAAACCCACAGCCGAGUUUGCAUCAAGGACAGCGCGGGGUACAAUGGCCAGAGAACGGAUGUUAUCGUCAACUUUCUGGUAAUCGGAGACCUUGAUCCAUGUAGAGAUAUUAUCUGCACAUACCACAGUUUCUGCAAAGCCUACACCCCUACCAAGCAUGACCGCAUUUGUGAAGAAAAUUGCCCGUCAUACGAAGAGCAAGUAUGCGGCUCUAACGGUCUCACUUUUGAUAACCUGUGUUUGCUGCAAAAAGACAUAUGUACACGACGUGCAAAUUACACCAAGUACCAUCCUGGAAGCUGCACAGGUAAUGGGAA